UAACGCGCUCUCGUCACUGCCUCCCGGAAACCGGAUGUGAGCACCCGAACCGAAACACUGUUUUCUUUGGAGAGCGUGCUGCUGUCCUCUGCAGCACCAGCUCGUUACUGUUCAUCAUUGUUUACAUGUACUGCGUGUAUUGGAUGUGGACGCUGGAGGAGGAUGUGUCCUAAUGAAUACCCUGUCUCCGUGGUGAGAACCUGAGUUAUUCUCCAGAGAAAGCUACGUUUCCUUCUCCCCGACGAUCGGUACG